UACAUGAACAAGGAACUUGAGAAGAAAGCACAAAGGCAUGGACACUUAAUGUGCCAUGAUUCUUCACUUACAAAUUGUUGUAUGAAGAAAUGAGAGUUGCCAUGAACAACUCUUGAAAGUUUGUAAUUAUGUUUAGAACAUAAUGGUUGGUUGACAAAAAUAGUCCAUCAACAUGGACUUAUGAUGAUUUUGAAUCAUUGAGUGUUGAAGUGAUAAACCACUUAACGAGACAGAAACUAGGCAAGGACUUCACCUUUAUGUCCCUAUCCUAAUGGUUCACUAAGUUUAUUGUAAACUAUGUAGUGAACAAUAAACACAUGCUCUCCAAAAUGUUUGAUGUGUAUAACACAAUUGAAAUAAGUUUCAAGAGAGAUAGUGGGAGUUUAGGGACCAUGACUAUUGUAGUCAAAGGUGAAAGUCAAAUGAAGAAGAUAAAAUUAACUCCAAGGGAACAAACUUUCUUUAUGAAAUGAUGGACAUUGGAAGGGGUAUUUGCAAGAAAUGUCUUGCAAGUGUCAAGAACACACCUUUCGAAGGUGUGUAAAUUGUUCUUGAAUAGUUCAAAACAGUUGGUUCUUCUACUUGAAUGCUUGAUUCCGUAUUAGUAACUAUGUUUUACAAUCAUUGUAAAAGUGUGACUAAUAAGAAGUAGAAGAUAUAUGAGAGAAGAAAAAGGUGCUUCACAUUCGGAACGUGAAUAAAAUAUAGAUCUCUGCGAAAGCAGAUAGUACUUACUUCCUCAUAUGAACUACCAAAGAAAUUGGAAAAACCAAAGAUUGUCUUUACAUUCCAAUUUGAAGGAACUUAAUUCCAUCACUAUAGUAGAGAUGGAUGAAUGUUUUGUUUGACAAAACAUUGUUCUUUAUUAAUCAAUGAUUGGAUUAUAGUAAUCUAAUUGAUUGUCUCUACAGUAGAGAUGAUAUGGUAGUGUUAACUGUUUAGAAUAUAAUGAUGCUUAAAACCCAAAAGGUUGCAAGGUAGUGACUAAUCCCAACUGAGUUGUGAUACCUCUAAAACAUAAGUUAUGAGUUGGUGAAAAAUGGAUGCUUUGGAUUGUUAGAUCCGGAUCCAAUACCUUCUCAUUAAAAUUGUAUAGAGGCGAAAUGUUCGAAUCUUUAUUCUUUUGGAAAGAAGAAAGAAUCACAAAGUUGUUGAGGUUAAUUCACUUAGAUGUUGGUGGCACUUGACCACAACAUAAUACUACUCAUGUUGUAUGACAUUCACCGAAGAUCGCUCUCGGUUGGACUAUAGUUUAUUUUGAAUAAACACAAGUCCGAAUACUUUGCAAAAGGUUUCAAAGAAUUCAAGAAAUGUAAGUUGAUGAGUAAGACAUCUAAAGUAUUUACCUCCUUAGAUUUGAUCCAAGGAAAAGUAACACUUUAGAUGAGUUUCCUUGAAAGAUAUCAAGGAAAGAAGCAUCAUAAGAUAAUAAAAUUCUCCAUUAAGGAGAAGAACGAACUCGAAUAAGAUUUAGUUCGUUAGAUGUUAUCUAUUACCCAUAUAUAGGAUAUAUACUUCUAAAAACAAUAUGAUUGUCAAUUAGAAGAUCUUCCAAAUUUUUCAUGACUCCAUAAGAUGUAGUUGGAAAUAAAGACAAAUCUUAAGCAUGUUAAGAUUUGGGGUUGUGUGCUAAUAAGCAAUAUUUGUUUUGAUAACAAUCUUGUGGGAUAUCCUUAAAUUAACUUUUGGAUAUCGCUUCUAUAAACCAACUAACAAAUGUUGUUUUGUUGGGUAGUUCAUUGUAAUCCUACAAUGUGAUUUGCCUAAGAGCUAAUGAACGAGAGAUAGAACUCAAAGGAUGGGUUCUUUGAGAGACAAGAAAGUAAUCAACAAAUAUACAACCUAGUUCCUAUACCAAAGGCUCCAAGGUAGUCGAGAAAGAUUUAUAAACCGUCUCAGUUGAAUGGUUUGAACUUUAUGACUAUGUCAUAGAGUUACACCUCUUAAUUCGAAAGAAAUAAGAAUGAAAAUCUUUAUGACUACAUUGAGUGUAUAUAUGAUAUAUACUCAAGGAAAUGGUAAAGUACCAUCUGACCCGUAAUAAUGAAACCUUCAUAAGCUAAUUGGUAGCUUAAGGUGACUACAAUCAAAGAGAAUGGUUGACUUUGAAGA
rnacentral:lncRNA from 1 species